rnacentral:rRNA from 1 species
UGCAGUCGACGAUGAUGGGAGCUUGCUCCUGGAUUAGUGGCGAACGGGUGAGUAACACGUGAGUAACCUGCCCUUGACUCUGGGAUAAGCCUGGGAAACUGGGUCUAAUACCGGAUAUGACCUUCCAUCGCAUGGUGGUUGGUGGAAAGCUUUUGUGGUUUUGGAUGGACUCGCGGCCUAUCAGCUUGUUGGUGAGGUAAUGGCUUACCAAGGCGACGACGGGUAGCCGGCCUGAGAGGGUGACCGGCCACACUGGGACUGAGACACGGCCCAGACUCCUACGGGAGGCAGCAGUGGGGAAUAUUGCACAAUGGGCGCAAGCCUGAUGCAGCGACGCCGCGUGAGGGAUGACGGCCUUCGGGUUGUAAACCUCUUUCAGUAGGGAAGAAGCGAAAGUGACGGUACCUGCAGAAGAAGCGCCGGCUAACUACGUGCCAGCAGCCGCGGUAAUACGUAGGGCGCAAGCGUUAUCCGGAAUUAUUGGGCGUAAAGAGCUCGUAGGCGGUUUGUCGCGUCUGCCGUGAAAGUCCGGGGCUCAACUCCGGAUCUGCGGUGGGUACGGGCAGACUAGAGUGAUGUAGGGGAGACUGGAAUUCCUGGUGUAGCGGUGAAAUGCGCAGAUAUCAGGAGGAACACCGAUGGCGAAGGCAGGUCUCUGGGCAUUAACUGACGCUGAGGAGCGAAAGCAUGGGGAGCGAACAGGAUUAGAUACCCUGGUAGUCCAUGCCGUAAACGUUGGGCACUAGGUGUGGGGGACAUUCCACGUUUUCCGCGCCGUAGCUAACGCAUUAAGUGCCCCGCCUGGGGAGUACGGGCCGCAAGGCUAAAACUCAAAAGGAAUUGACGGGGGGCCCGCACAAGCGGGCGGAGCAUGCCGGAUUAAUUCCGAU